CACGUAGGGCGCAAGCGUUGUCCGGAAUUAUUGGGCGUAAAGAGCUCGUAGGCGGUCUGUUGCGUCCGCUGUGAAAACCCGGGGCUUAACCCCUGGCUUGCAGUGGAUACGGACAGACUAGAGGUAGGUAGGGGAGAAUGGAAUUCCCGGUGUAGCGGUGAAAUGCGCAGAUAUCAGGAGGAACACCGGUGGCGAAGGCGGGUCUCUGGGCCGUAACUGACGCUGAGGAGCGAAAGCGUGGGGAGCGAACAGG
rnacentral:rRNA from 1 species